CUGUGGUGUGGCAUUUGCACGAAAGGCUGGGAACGCCAAACUGCAGAUAAAGUCACUCGCAUCUGUGCUGAUUUGGACUCCAGAGUUUUGGCAGUUCCAGCAGACGUGCCUUUGGUACCAUCUGGUCCUAUUGUGUUGGAUUCUUUUCAGUUGGUGCAGCCUGAGGAUGUGGACAAGAUCCUGGACAGUGUGCAGGAAAUAGAAUCCUUUGAAGGCUUGCAAGGAAAGAGGAAGGAUGAGCAUGCUCAUGAGGUUUGGACACAUUGUGCAGAACCAGGUUUUCACCAUGGUUCCCAUUACAUCUGAAUGUGAACCAUUUGCCUGUUCUUCCAGGAAGUUCCAUGUUCAGCUCUUCCACUCAGCCAGUAAAAAAAUAAAAUAAAAUUGAAGGAUAAAUAUCCUCUCAUACCUUCAUAAAAUUGAAGGAUAAAUAUCCUCUCAAAUAUCCUGCCUCAUUUACUCCAAGUUGCAUUAUUCUGCUGAUUGUUAUAGUGACUGAACUUCACACAGUGGCCAAAAUAACUUCCAGGGUGCUGUCCCUGAGUGGGCUAACAAGUUUUUACUUCAUUCUCAGCCAUUGAACAUUGUGGAUAUCAGUUCAAAAUACAAUACAACCCUUGCUAGUGUACAUAGAAAUCAGUCUUAAUAUGUUCAGUGGGACUUAUUCCCUAGUAGAGGACUACAUCCUAAGAAAUUAGCUCUAGCUAAUCUCAUUGCAUAAGGUUUCUCAUUAUUUUUAGCCAUUUCUGUUAGAAAACGCUGCUGUCCUUGGCUGUAGUUGCUAAAGGUUUGCAUGAGAAUUCACCAUCCUGUUCAUCAUGCUGAGGCUUUGUAUGUUGGGUCUGCCAUGGGCAAAUUUAUAGAUUUCCCCUGGCACUGCUGCUGAGCUCACCCCAGUGUUGUUUUGUCCAAUCAGAAAUCAAAAUUGUGCAUUAAGUAAACGAGAUAUUAAUCUGACCUAGUUAUAUGAAAGAUACAUUGGCUGUUUUAAAGAAAAGGAUAAUUACAGAAUACUUUGUAGUGAGACUACAAAGAGCUUUUUUGUUAUUUUAUAAAUACUGGAUAGGUGGCAAGAUCAGAUCAAUGAACACUGAUAAAACUAUACUCUCUCUGUUACAUUAAUGUUAUGUUACCAAAGAGAAUGCAAAAGGCAUAGCACUGACAGGAGUAGCCUGACGGGGAGGAGGACAGCAUGAUAACAUGGCAUGUUAUAUUCUAUCUAGAAAACCUUUCUGUUUUGUUAAUUAGAAGUUUGUCCUAGUGGGGUUCCUGGAGAGAGAGAGAGAGAGAGAGAGAGAGAGUGAGAGUAGGGGGUGGGGGUGGAGUCAGAAAGGAAAGGGAGGGAAAGGAGAAGGAGAAAAGGGAGAUGUUUUCUGAAUAAAGUCUUAGUUUAAUCUACACAAGAUUGCUUUGUGUUUAUGGGGGAUGAUUAUAAAACAUGGCUAUUAUGUAUUUGGCAAAAUGAAAGCAUUGCAACAACAACAACAUAAUCAAAGCUCAGAGGGUGAGGUACAAAGGCCACAGACUGACAGGCCAUGAGGCAAGGCCCAUUAAUGUGUUGUUUUACAACUAUGUAAUCUCUACAUUUUAGUUGCAGGCAAUAACUCUGCCCUCAACACUGCCUCCCACGCACCCCACCCCAGCAUCCUUGGGUUAAAAGUUGUCUGCAAAAUUUCUUGCAGUUUUUCUGCUAGGGCAUAUUGAAAGGACAGCCCCAAAACUGAAUUUUGUACCCAGUCAGUGUAAGAGUUUGGGGCUAUAACUCAGUGCCCAAUCUGAGCCCCAGAGGGUUCAGUGACUGGAAGAGAUCUACAGUGCAUUGAAAUAAUUUAGGGGAUCAUAUCAUGGAAAAGAUGCAGAAUAGAGCUUACAAAAUGUUUGUUACACACAGGGAAUAAAUCUUUUUCUGAUUUUGCUUAAAGAGAAAAAAAAACAUUUAAGUUCACUGCAUGUUAUACUUUAAAAGAAAAUCAUUAUAAGAUGAUGUACAGGUGGUAUUUGACACCGAAAAAAUUAGCAUUAAUGUAUAAAAAUGUUCCAAACAAAUGUUGGAAAUGUGGACAUUGUGAUGGAACCUUUUUUCAUAUGUGGUGGUCAUGUGGGUUGAAGAAAAUUUUUUAAAUGACAUUUCCUUAGAGGCCAGAAUCCUUCCUGCUGGGAAUAACGCAAGGAGAGUUCUCCAGAAGAAACGUAACAUUUUUUAUGUACGCAACCACGGCGGCUAGAAUAGUAUAUGCGCAGAAAUGGAAAGAUAAUAAAAUGCCCUCAAAAUAAGAUUGGUUGAUAAAAAUUUUGGAAUACGCUGAGAUGGCAAAACUUAUAGCACUCAUAAGGGAUGAAAACUUGGAAUGUUUCAAAGAAGAUUGGGAGCCAUCUUAUUUUACUUAAAGAACUAUUUUUCCAAUAUGGACCUUUCAGCAGGGUUUGAAAUUUAGUAACAACAGCAGGUUGGGUUGGGUAAAAUCGAGUUUGCAAUGUGGAGUAUAUGUGUUUUGAAUUAUUAUAGCAAUGGUAGAUUUGUAUAGCUAAUAUGAACCGUGCAGAUUGGUAAGCGGGAAGUCAACAUUUACUUAAUUAAAUGUAAUUGGAUUGUUAAGAUAUUGUA